AGCAGCCGCGGUAAUUCCAGCUCCAAUAGCGUAUAUUAAAGUUGUUGCAGUUAAAAAGCUCGUAGUUGAAUUUCGGGAUUGACGUGAUGGUCGUGCCUUACGGGGUAUGAACUGUUGCAGUCAAUUUCUCACCUUCUGGAGAAAUAUGAUGUCCUUAAUUGGGUGUCAUAUGGAACCAGAACUUUUACCUUGAAAAAAUUAGAGUGUUUAAAGCAGGCUUAUUGCUCGAAUACAUUAGCAUGGAAUAAUAAAAUAGGACGGCAUGGUUCUAUUUUGUUGGUUUCUAGGAUCACCGUAAUGAUUAAUAGGGAUAGUUGGGGGCAUUAGUAUUCAAUUGUCAGAGGUGAAAUUCUUGGAUUUAUUGAAGACUAACUACUGCGAAAGCAUUUGCCAAGGAUGUUUUCAUUAAUCAAGAACGAAAGUUAGGGGAUCGAAGACGAUCAGAUACCGUCGUAGUCUUAACCAUAAACUAUGCCGACUAGGAAUCAGACGAUGUUAAUUUUUAAUGACUCGU
rnacentral:misc_RNA from 1 species